GUCGAGCGGCGGACGGGUGAGUAAUGCCUGGGAAAUUGCCCUGAUGUGGGGGAUAACCAUUGGAAACGAUGGCUAAUACCGCAUAAUAGCUUCGGCUCACAGAGGGGGACCUUCGGGCCUCUCCCGUCCGGAUAUGCCCCGGUGGGAUUAGCUAGGUGGUGAGGUAAUGGCUCACCAAGGCGACGAUCCCUAACUGGUCUGACAGGAUGAUCAGCCACACUGGAACUGAGACACCGGCCAGACUCCUACGGGAGGCAGCAGUGGGGAAUAUUGCACAAUGGGCGCCAGCCUGAUGCAGCCCUGCCGCGUGGGUGAAUGAGGGCUUCGGGGAUGGAAAGCCCUUUUCGUCCUGGAGGAAUGCAGUGGAGGUUAUAGCGGCAUUAAUUUGGCGCUUGCGUAUGAAAAAUUACCGGCUAACUCCGUGGCCGCAGACGCCGUAAUACCGGACGUGGGAACGUUUAUCCGGAAUACUGGGACCAAAACUACUGGAGUGGAUAGUUAGUCGAGUGAAACCCCGGAUCUACCUCCCAACUGCCUUUGAAACUGGCUGACCUAGAGAACUGUAGAGGGGGGUAAGAAUUUCAGGUGUAACGAGUGAAAUGCGUAAAGAUCUGAAGGAAUACCGGUCUGCGAAGUGCGGCCCCCUGGACAGAUACUGACACUCAGAUGCGAAAGCGUGGGGAGGCAAACAGGAGUAGAUACCUCGUAGUCACACGCCGUAAACGAUCUCUACUGGAAGGUUGUGACCUUGAGCCGUGGCUUUAACAGGAGCUAACGCGUUAAGUAGACCGCCUGGGGAGUACGGUCGCAAGAUUAAAACUCAAAUGAAUUGACGGGGGCCCGCACAAGCGGUGGAGCAUGUGGUUUAAUUCGAUGCAACGCGAAGAACCUUACCUACUCUUGACAUCCAGAGAACUUAGCAGAGAUGCUUUGGUGCCUUCGGGAACUCUGAGACAGGUGCUGCAUGGCUGUCGUCAGCUCGUGUUGUGAAAUGUUGGGUUAAGUCCCGCAACGAGCGCAACCCUUAUCCUUGUUUGCCAGCACUUCGGGUGGGAACUCCAGGGAGACUGCCGGUGAUAAACCGGAGGAAGGUGGGGACGACGUCAAGUCAUCAUGGCCCUUACGAGUAGGGCUACACACGUGCUACAAUGGCGCAUACAGAGGGCAGCCAACUUGCGAAAGUGAGCGAAUCCCAAAAAGUGCGUCGUAGUCCGGAUUGGAGUCUGCAACUCGACUCCAUGAAGUCGGAAUCGCUAGUAAUCGUGGAUCAGAAUGCCACGGUGAAUACGUUCCCGGGCCUUGUACACACCGCCCGUCACACCAUGGGAGUGGGCUGCAAAAGAAGUGGGUAGUUAACCUUCGGGAGGACGCU
rnacentral:rRNA from 1 species